GUGCCAGCAGCCGCGGUAAGACGAACCGUGCAAACGUUAUUCGGAAUCACUGGGCUUAAAGGGCGCGUAGGCGGGUAACCAAGUCCGGGGUGAAAUCCUCCAGCUUAACUGGAGAAGUGCCUCGGAUACUGGUCGUCUCGAGGAGGGUAGGGGCAUCUGGAACUAGCGGUGGAGCGGUGAAAUGCGUUGAUAUCGCUAGGAACUCCGAUGGCGAAGGCAAGGUGCUGGACCCUUUCUGACGCUGAGGCGCGAAAGCCAGGGGAGCGAACGGGAUUAGAUACCCGUGUAGUCC
rnacentral:rRNA from 1 species